rnacentral:misc_RNA from 1 species
AACGUAGGGCGCGAACGUUAUCCGGAAUUAUUGGGCGUAAAGCGCGCGCAGGCGGUCCUUUAAGUCUGAUGUGAAAUCUUGCGGCUUAACCGCAAGCGGUCAUUGGAAACUGGGGGACUUGAGUACAGAAGAGGAAAGCGGAAUUCCACGUGUAGCGGUGAAAUGCGUAGAGAUGUGGAGGAACACCAGUGGCGAAGGCGGCUUUCUGGUCUGUAACUGACGCUGAGGCGCGAAAGCGUGGGGAGCAAACAGG